rnacentral:rRNA from 1 species
UGGGGAAUUUUGGACAAUGGGCGCAAGCCUGAUCCAGCCAUGCCGCGUGAGUGAAGAAGGCCUUCGGGUUGUAAAGCUCUUUCGGCGGGGAAGAAAUUGCAUGGGUUAAUACCCUGUGUAGAUGACGGUACCCGCAUAAGAAGCACCGGCUAACUACGUGCCAGCAGCCGCGGUAAUACGUAGGGUGCGAGCGUUAAUCGGAAUUACUGGGCGUAAAGCGUGCGCAGGCGGUUGUAUAAGUCAGAUGUGAAAUCCCCGGGCUCAACCUGGGAACUGCAUUUGAGACUGUACGGCUAGAGUUUGGCAGAGGGGGGUGGAAUUCCACGUGUAGCAGUGAAAUGCGUAGAGAUGUGGAGGAACACCGAUGGCGAAGGCAGCCCCCUGGGCCAAUACUGACGCUCAUGCACGAAAGCGUGGGGAGCAAACA